rnacentral:rRNA from 1 species
GACGAACGCUGGCGGCGUGCUUAACACAUGCAAGUCGAACGGAAAGGCCCUGCUUUUGUGGGGUGCUCGAGUGGCGAACGGGUGAGUAACACGUGAGUAACCUGCCCUUGACUUUGGGAUAACUUCAGGAAACUGGGGCUAAUACCGGAUAGGAGCUCCUGCUGCAUGGUGGGGGUUGGAAAGUUUCGGCGGUUGGGGAUGGACUCGCGGCUUAUCAGCUUGUUGGUGGGGUAGUGGCUUACCAAGGCUUUGACGGGUAGCCGGCCUGAGAGGGUGACCGGCCACAUUGGGACUGAGAUACGGCCCAGACUCCUACGGGGGGCAGCAGUGGGGAAUAUUGCACAAUGGGCGGAAGCCUGAUGCAGCAACGCCGCGUGCGGGAUGACGGCCUUCGGGUUGUAAACCGCUUUCGCCUGUGACGAAGCGUGAGUGACGGUAAUGGGUAAAGAAGCACCGGCUAACUACGUGCCAGCAGCCGCGGUGAUACGUAGGGUGCGAGCGUUGUCCGGAUUUAUUGGGCGUAAAGGGCUCGUAGGUGGUUGAUCGCGUCGGAAGUGUAAUCUUGGGGCUUAACCCUGAGCGUGCUUUCGAUACGGGUUGACUUGAGGAAGGUAGGGGGGAAUGGAAUUCCUGGUGGAGCGGUGGAAUGCGCAGAUAUCAGGAGGAACACCAGUGGCGAAGGCGGUUCUCUGGGCCUUUCCUGACGCUGAGGAGCGAAAGCGUGGGGAGCGAACAGGCUUAGAUACCCUGGUAGUCCACGCUGUAAACGGUGGGUACUAGGUGUGGGGUCCAUUCCACGGGUUCCGUGCCGUAGCUAACGCUUUAAGUACCCCGCCUGGGGAGUACGGCCGCAAGGCUAAAACUCAAAGGAAUUGACGGGGCCCCGCACAAGCGGCGGAGCAUGCGGAUUAAUUCGAUGCAACGCGUAGAACCUUACCUGGGUUUGACAUGGAUCGGGAGUGCUCAGAGAUGGGUGUGCCUCUUUUGGGGUCGGUUCACAGGUGGUGCAUGGCUGUCGUCAGCUCGUGUCGUGAGAUGUUGGGUUAAGUCCCGCAACGAGCGCAACCCUUGUUCACUGUUGCCAGCACGUUAUGGUGGGGACUCAGUGGAGACCGCCGGGGUCAACUCGGAGGAAGGUGGGGAUGACGUCAAGUCAUCAUGCCCCUUAUGUCCAGGGCUUCACGCAUGCUACAAUGGCUGGUACAGAGAGUGGCGAGCCUGUGAGGGUGAGCGAAUCUCGGAAAGCCGGUCUCAGUUCGGAUUGGGGUCUGCAACUCGACCUCAUGAAGUCGGAGUCGCUAGUAAUCGCAGAUCAGCAACGCUGCGGUGAAUACGUUCCCGGG